AGUGAACGCUGGCGGUAGGCCUAACACAUGCAAGUCGAACGGCAGCACAGUAAGAGCUUGCUCUUACGGGUGGCGAGUGGCGGACGGGUGAGGAAUACAUCGGAAUCUACUUUUUCGUGGGGGAUAACGUAGGGAAACUUACGCUAAUACCGCAUACGACCUACGGGCGAAAGCAGGGGAUCUUCGGACCUUGCGCGAUUGAAUGAGCCGAUGUCGGAUUAGCUAGUUGGCGGGGUAAAGGCCCACCAAGGCGACGAUCCGUAGCUGGUCUGAGAGGAUGAUCAGCCAGACGGGAACUGAGACACGGUCCAGACUCCUACGGGAGGCAGCAGUGGGGAAUAUUGGACAAAGGGCGCGAGCCGGAUCCAGCCAUACCGCGUGGGUGAAGAAGGCCUUCGGGUUGUAAAGCCCUUUUGUUGGGAAGGAAAAGCAGCAGGUUAACACCCCGCUGUUCUGACGGUACCCAAAGAAUAAGCACCGGCUAACUUCGUG
rnacentral:rRNA from 1 species